rnacentral:rRNA from 1 species
UACGGGGGAGCAAGCGUUGUUCGGAUUUACUGGGCGUAAAGGGCGCGUAGGCGGUCAGCACAAGUCAGUUGUGAAAUCUCCGGGCUUAACUCGGAAAGGUCAACUGAUACUGUGCGACUAGAGUGCAGAAGGGGCAACUGGAAUUCUCGGUGUAGCGGUGAAAUGCGUAGAUAUCGAGAGGAACACCUGCGGCGAAGGCGGGUUGCUGGGCCGACACUGACGCUGAUGCGCGAAAGCCAGGGAGCGAACGGG